UUUCAAUUUCUUCUACAUAGAUUUUGGUUUGUGAAUAUUUUGAUGUUUGUGAACAAAAUAUCGUCUCUGAUUCUAUAUCAAAGACAACCAUACGAAGCAAACUAUUUUAUUUCAAUUUCUUCUUCAUAGAUUUCCAUCUCAAUAUGGAAGACAACGAUACGAAGCAAACUGCAGAAACUCAUAACCACACUAAUCUUCGUCUCCGAUUCUAUGGGGUUUGAUUUCAAAAGAAAGAAGUUAAGAUUUACAUGUGGUGACCAUAUUUGCUAAUGGGGAGAGGGAAACUGGUGAGUGAAUUGCAAAGUCUAUGAAGAGAGUUGGAAAAGAAGCUGUAAUCACAAUUGUUGUAAGUUUUCAUGUGCUCAUCUUGCAAACAUCAUAACAGUUUGAGAACCGUUUGAAUAUGUUUUGAUCAAAGCAGUUUGUUUCUGUUUAUAUGGUAAAGGUUUAAGUGUUAUUCAUCUGUUCCUUCAAUGGUCUGGGUUGAUUGAGUGUUUAUAUGUUUUGAUCCAUAACUAGAUUUUAGUUUAAGUGUUUUUCAUAGAUGACUUUAUAUAUGCACAAAACAGUUUGAUUGACUGUUAUGUUUGCUUUCCAUUUUUCUCAUCUACUUCACCUCUUUGUGUUUCCAUUUUACUACUCCUAGAGAAUAACUUAUGGUUAGGUACUGAAGCCAUGUACUGGAGCCAUGUGGUGAAUUUCAAAUGUUGCAAUUUGGGCUAUAAGAGUCUCGAUAUGGUGAAAGUGAUGUUGCAGAUCAUAUAUGUUACUUCAAUUGGGAUUGUUGUCACAAUGAAGCAGAGUAUGGAUUAAGCUGUAGUAAGAAAUUCAAUGGUUGUGCUGGCAGUACUUUCAUUUGUUUUGUCGCGGUUGUUAGCUCACUUCAUAUACAAAAACUUCUGGUAUCAUGACUACAACCUCGCCUUUCGCUGAAAUUUGUUUCCUUAACAUUACUUAACUCCUAUCUCAUGUUUUUGUUAAUAGCUUAUGGUUACUAGCUUUUGUUUUUACAAUUUCAACAUAUAAUGC